rnacentral:piRNA from 1 species
UAGAAAUGUUGCUGGGAAAUCAUU